rnacentral:lncRNA from 1 species
ACUCACGCAACGUCUUCCCGGUACGAUGUCGGAUAUAGUGCUCGAGUUGGUUAGAUAUGUCCGGUUCGAAAACCCAUCGUUUGUAUUGGUCACGGACCCACGAACCGAUAAUCAGUAAAACUCUAUCUUGGCUCGUCAUCUGCAGUAAUAAGUUACAAUAUAAUUAGUAUAUCUCAAUAUCUAUUCCAUUACACUGUCUACAUAAUGUUAUUCCAACAAACAAGCUUUAUCUGAAACACCAUUAAUUACAGUAUUCUGAGGACAGCUAACCUGAUUGUCUCCUUCCAGCAUUAACUACCUUGCUUCAUCACCUUCUUCUUUUUUUGGAAUUGUUCAGAUGGAGUUACACUAGUAAGUAAAUGGAAUACACCUUUUAUGGAUAAAAUGUUUUAAGUUAGACCACUUAUUUGAAUGUACACAGUGAAAAUAUCUUGGUAAUUACAAUUAGUAACGUGGCUGCCCCCUGUUCUUUCAAAUGGAAUAACUGUAAACAACUAAUAGCCAUUUACUCCAUUGCAUGCGUCGUCACCUCAC